GAAACGACUGCUAAUACCGCAUAAGCCCACGGCUCGGCAUCGAGCAGAGGGAAAAGGAGCAAUCCGCUUUGAGAUGGCCUCGCGUCCGAUUAGCUAGUUGGUGAGGUAACGGCCCACCAAGGCGACGAUCGGUAGCCGGACUGAGAGGUUGAACGGCCACAUUGGGACUGAGACACGGCCCAGACUCCUACGGGAGGCAGCAGUGGGGAAUAUUGCACAAUGGGGGAAACCCUGAUGCAGCGACGCCGCGUGGAGGAAGAAGGUCUUCGGAUUGUAAACUCCUGUUGUUGAGGAAGAUAAUGACGGUACUCAACAAGGAAGUGACGGCUAACUACGUGCCAGCAGCCGCGGUAAAACGUAGGUCACAAGCGUUGCCCGGAAUUACUGGGUGUAAAGGGAGCGCAGGCGGGAGAACAAGUUGGAAGUGAAAUCCAUGGGCUCAACCCAUGAACUGCUUUCAAAACUGUUUUUCUUGAGUAGUGCAGAGGUAGGCGGAAUUCCCGGUGUAGCGGUGGAAUGCGUAGAUAUCGGGAGGAACACCAGUGGCGAAGGCGGCCUACUGGGCACCAACUGACGCUGAGGCUCGAAAGUGUGGGUAGCAAACAGGAUUAGAUACCCUGGUAGUCCACACCGUAAACGAUGAAUACGAGGUGUUGGAGGAUUGACCCCUUCAGUG
rnacentral:rRNA from 1 species